AAUCAACGCUGGCGGCGUGCCUAACACAUGCAAGUCGAACGCGAAAGCCCCGCAAGGGGUAAGUAGAGUGGCAAACGGGUGAGUAACACGUGGGUGACCUGCCUUCGAGUGGGGGAUAACGUCCCGAAAGGGACGCUAAUACCGCAUGACAUCCUGCUUUUGAAAAAGCGGAGAUCAAAGCUGGGGAUCGCAAGACCUAGCGCUUGAAGAGGGGCCCGCGCCUGCUUAGCUAGUUGGUGAGGUAACGGCUCACCAAGGCGACGAUCAGUAUCCGGCCUGAGAGGGCGGACGGACACACUGGGACUGAGACACGGCCCAGACUCCUACGGGAGGCAGCAGUGGGGAAUUGUUCGCAAUGGGCGCAAGCCUGACGACGCAACGCCGCGUGGAGGACGAAGAUCUUCGGGUCGUAAACUCCUGUCGAGCGGGACGAACGCUUCGCGGAUGAAUAAUCCGCGGAAUUGACGGUACCGCUAAAGGAAGCCCCGGCUAACUCCGUG
rnacentral:rRNA from 1 species